rnacentral:rRNA from 1 species
UACAGAGGUCCCAAGCGUUGUUCGGAUUCAUUGGGCGUAAAGGGUGCGUAGGCGGCGCGGUAAGUCGGGUGUGAAAUCUCGGAGCUUAACUCCGAAACUGCAUUCGAUACUGCCAUGCUUGAGGACUGGAGAGGAGACUGGAAUUCUUGGUGUAGCAGUGAAAUGCGUAGAUAUCAAGAGGAACACCAGUGGCGAAGGCGAGUCCCUGGACAACACCUGACACUGAGGCACGAAAGCUAGGGGAGCAAACAGG